rnacentral:rRNA from 1 species
CCUACGGGUGGCAGCAGUGAGGAAUAUUGGUCAAUGGGCUUACGUCUGAACCAGCCAAGUCGCGUGAGGGAAGACUGCCCUAUGGGUUGUAAACCUCUUUUGUCAGGGAGUAAAUGGCGCUACGUGUAGCGUUAUCGAGAGUACCUGAAGAAAAAGCAUCGGCUAACGCCGUGCCAGCAGCCGCGUUAAUACGGAGGUUCCGAGCGUUAUCCGGAUUUAUUGGGUUUAAAGGUAGCGUAGGUGGAUUGUUAAGUCAGUUGUGAAAGUUUGCGGCUCAACCGUAAAAUUGCAGUUGAAACUGGCAGUCUAGAGUACAGUAGAGGUAGGCGGAAUGCGUGGUGUAGCGGUGAAAUGCUUAGAUAUCACGAAGAACUCCGAUUGCGAAGGCAGUUCACUGGACUACAACUGACGCUGAGGCUCGAAAGUGUGGGUAUCAAACAGGAUUAGAUACCCGGGUAGUC